CAAGCCACUUCACUUGUCUGCGCCCCAACAAGCUCAUCCGAAGGCCCAGAAGAAAGGAAGAUAAACUCGAGGCUUUUACAGGUGCCUGCAUCCUCCCCUUUCAUCCAGCAACAAUCCCUGGGACCAUGGCCCCCGAACCUUGCUGCAUGCUAGUAUCAGAAUCAACCAGGAACUUUUGAAAAGCCAAGGGCCCAGUCUGCAUACCAGGCCAAUGAAGUCAGAAGAUCCAUUCAGGACAAAGCCCCAGCCAGGUCUAGAGGACAGCCAGGCCUGCAGGAAACAAGAGUGCAGACCCACGAUUGGGGGCACCCCAGGAGCAACGUCAGGA